GUACAGCUGACGAGUCCCGAAUAGGGCGAAACGCGCGUCCUGGAU
rnacentral:hammerhead_ribozyme from 1 species